AGUGAACGCUGGCGGUAUGCCUAACACAUGCAAGUCGAACGGAAGCACAGUAAGAUCUUUCCCUUACGGGUGGCGAGUGACGGAUGUGUAAGAAAUACAUACACAUCUACUUUUACUUGGGUAACAACGGAAAGACACUGACACUACUAGCGCAUAAAAUCUACUGGUUGGAUCAAUGGUUGUACGCAGUUUUCGCGUUGCAAAUAGACGAUGUCGCAUUAGCUAGUUUGCUUGGUAAAGGCCCACCAAGGCAACGAUCCGUAGCUGGUCUGAGAGGAUGAUCAGCCACACUGGAACUGAGACACGGUCCAGACUCCUACGGGCGGCAGCAGUCGGGACUAUUCGCCAAUGGGCGAAAGCUUGAUCCAGCCACACCGCGUGCGUGCAGAAGGACUUCGGGUUGUAAACCGCUGUUCUUACGCAAGAAAAGCCGAAGAUUUAUGGAUUGUUGUUGUGACGGUACCAAAAGAAUAAGCCACGGCUAACUUCGUG
rnacentral:rRNA from 1 species